GCUGAUGCUUCUCCUGCUCGAGGGUCUCGCUGAUCAGGCGGGCCACCUCGCUCUGCGUUCCCGCCUUCUCCCGGCCUAUCAGGAACCUGGUGUGUUGGGACGCGGUGCGUUAGCGAGGGCGCUGUUCCAAUGAAUACACGGCAGGGACGACGAGAGGUCUACGGCUUUCUUUGCCAGCCAGCAGCGACCGUAUGAAAGUGCCCGCCAGCCAUAGACUGGAAAGAAUUUGGACAACCGUUGGUUGACACACAACUGGAAUGAAGCUGUAGACUUCCUGCUAUGUGCGCCGCCAUUGGUUGAGAGCAGCAGUGGAAACGAUCCAUAUUUGGCACAUUGAAGGCCCGAAUUCAAUUGGCGCUUCACAAUACUGUACUACCGAAACUCAUCGAUUACAACAGGGUUCCUGAGCGAGACUUAGGAUGUUGGCAGUUUGUUUUUGCCAUCCAAACACCACAGAGGGACCACAUUUUAGUCUCUUCCACCACGGCAUCACAAACAGGUCAGGGACAUCAAUGUGAGCCGUGGUUUGUGAACCGGGGAUGGAGACGGGUAUAGACUGUGGUCUCACCCUACGGUGCCUUGCGUGUUCUUGAGGACCGUGGCCGCAAAGAGCUGAGUGACCCCCACCAGACUGGUGCCGUCCACCUCCACUAUCUGGUCGUUCACUUGGAUCCUGGGGAGAGGCAGGAAAGAGAGAUGUUUCAAAACAACACAGGGAGGACGUCUCUCUCUGGGAAACCAACAGUAGACUUUUGUUGUCUUUUGCUGCUGCGGAAGGUUAAAAACACAGUUGCUUGUUUUGUAAACUGUUUAUCUCAGAGCCCGGGG
ensembl:lncRNA